rnacentral:rRNA from 1 species
UACAGAGGGUGCAAGCGUUAAUCGGAAUUACUGGGCGUAAAGCGUGCGUAGACGGUUAUUUAAGUCGGGUGUGAAAGCCCCGGGCUCAACCUGGGAAUUGCAUUCGAGACUGAAUAGCUAGGGUGCGGAAGAGGGAAGCGGAAUUUCCGGUGUAGCGGUGAAAUGCGUAGAUAUCGGAAGGAACACCAGUGGCGAAAGCGGCUUCCUGGUCCAGCACCGACGUUCAGGCACGAAAGCGUGGGGAGCAAACAGGG